rnacentral:rRNA from 1 species
AGCUCCAAUAGCGUAUAUUAAAGUUGUUGCGGUUAAAACGCUCGUAGUUUGAAAUCUGUUAAGGACGAUCUGUCUGCCCUCUGGGUGUGUAUUUGGUCUAGCCUUGGCAUUUCCUUGAACAAGACAACUGCACUUGAUUGUGUGGUGUUGAUUUCAAGGUGUUUACUUUGAGGAAAUCAGAGUGCUUCCAGCAGGUGUGCGCCUUGAAUACAUUAGCAUGGAAUAUCAUUAUAUGGUUUGGAUUUUUACUUGUUGGUUUUUAAAAUUGAAGCAAUGAUAAAUAGGGAUAAUUGGGGGCACUUGUAUUUAAUUGUCAGAGGUGAAAUUCUUGGAUUUGUGAAAGACAAACUACUGCGAAAGCAUUUGCCAAAAAUGUUUUCA